rnacentral:rRNA from 1 species
GAUGAACGCUAGCUACAGGCUUAACACACGCAAGUCGAGGGGCAGCGCAGUGUAGCAAUACAUGGGCGGCGACCGGCGCACGGGUGCGUAACGCGUAUCCAACCUUCCCGUUACUCAGGGAUAGCCUUCCGAAAGGGAGAUUAAUCCCGGAUAGUACGGUGAUUCCGCAUGGUUUCUCCAUUAAAGGAUUCCGGUUACCGAUGGGGAUGCGUUCCAUUAGGCAGUUGGUGGGGUAACGGCCCACCAAACCUACGAUGGAUAGGGGUUCUGAGAGGAAGGUCCCCCACAUUGGAACUGAGACACGGUCCAA